UACGGAGGGUGCAAGCGUUAUCCGGAUUCACUGGGUUUAAAGGGAGCGCAGGCGGGCUGGUAAGUCAGUGGUGAAAGCCUUGAGCUUAACUCGAGAACUGCCAUUGAUACUAUCAGUCUUGAAUAUUGUUGAGGUUUGCGGAAUGGGUCAUGUAGCGGUGAAAUGCAUAGAUAUGACCCGGAACACCUAUUGCGAAGGCAGUGUCCUGGCUGGUGACUGACGCUGAGGUGCGAAAGCUAGGGGAGCGAACGGG
rnacentral:rRNA from 1 species